rnacentral:rRNA from 1 species
UACAGAGGGUGCGAGCGUUGUUCGGAAUUAUUGGGCGUAAAGGGUGCGUAGGCGGUUGUUUAAGUUUGGGGUGAAAUCUCCCGGCUCAACUGGGAGGGUGCGCCGAAUACUGAAUGACUAGAGUGCGGGAGAGGAGAGUGGAAUUCCUGGUGUAGCGGUGAAAUGCGUAGAUAUCAGGAGGAACACCGGUGGUGUAGACGGCUCUCUGGACCGUAACUGACGCUGAGACACGAAAGCGUGGGUAGCAAACAGG